CAUCGUAUGAAUAUAUAUCCUCCUUUCAUCCAUAUGCUAAAUUGGAAUUAUGUUUGGGUUUUUAAAUAUUUAUUAUCUUAAAUAAUAAAUAUUUUCAGACAGAUAAGUAUAUAGAAUAAUACAAUUGAGUAGGCAGAAUAGUGGGCCCCAAAGUCUUCAAUGUCCUAAUCCCCAAGACUUACAGUUACAUGGCAAGUUGAAUUAAGGUUACAAACUACCUGACUUUAAACCAGGAAAAUUAUGCUUGGUUACCCAGGUAGGGCCAAUGUAAUCACAAGAGUCCUUAAAAGUGGAAGAAAAAGACAGAAAAAAAAGAAUUAAAAAGAAAAAAGCUGUGAUGAUGAAGAAGGGUCUGGGAGACGCUAUGUUGCUGGCUUUGAAGAUGGAAGAAGGGACAUGGGCCAAGGAAUGUGAGCAGCCUCCAGAAGCUGGAAAAGGCAAGGAAAUGGACUCUCUCCAAGAGCCUCCAGGGGGGACUCAUUGCUGCCAGCCCCUCAAUGUUAACAGUGAGACCCGGGGCAGACUGAACCACAGAACUGUUUCAAAGCACAUGUAACUUAUUCUCAACACAUUCCUGAAAUCAGCAGCAACUUCUGAAAGUCUACAUCUUCUCUACACACCAGUUCAACAGGGUCACAACCAUUGUCCCAAAAGCUCCAUUGCAGGGGUUCAGAUCCAUCUGUCAUUCAUGAAGACGUUUGACACUCUCAGGUGGCACAAGGAGGCACUUGUGUGGGACAAGCACUGGCCUUGGAGAGCUGUACCUUUCUGCUUCCAGAGGGCCUUCGUCUUGGAGAUGUCUUCCCCGUCUGUUGCAUGGUCACUCUGAAAGCAGCUGUGCAGACCGUGAUUAUUUGGAUUUUUUCUGAAGGAAAAAGGUCAAAAAUCAGAGAAUGGGAAUGAAAAAUAAGAGAAAGAAUGGACUACUAGACAAACCCAAACUGGAUGCCCUUGAAUAAAGAAGAGUUGACUGACUUUAUCAUUUUGCCCACCUGACCACAACAUAUAACAGAAAACCAUUCCAUCACCUGCCACCAGCUGGACCCAGUGGAUCCUGGUGCCGCCAGAAAUCUGAACCGUGCACUGCUUACUCACUCUGUGCUCCACUCCCAUUACCAAACCCUGCUUUCUGUUCAGCUUGGCCCGUCUACUACUGCAUUGCUGCCCACACAAGUAUCUGACUUCCUGAAAGCAUACCCACAGCCUCCCCACCACAAGUCAGGUUCCCACGCCAUCCUCUCUGCCCAUCCAGUUCAGCUCAAGUUUUAAGGGAGAAGACAAAGAAGUACACAAACUAUUAUUAGAUAACAGAGAGACAGCUUAUUCGAUGGCUGAGUCAUCAGUCAGUGAAAAUAAUCACCGUGAAGGACAUCUUUGUAGCCCACCGGGACAGCUGUGCUCAACAGAUGGCAGAGGACCAGAACUCAAGAGUGGUUGGGCAGAAGCGUCAACACUCAUGGGUGCAGACUGAUGGCCAGAAGAUAUUUUGUCCCUAAUUUUUCAGGACCACGCAAGUGCCUGGAUUCUUGUAAGAUACAAUUAAAGGGAGGAAAAGUCCCAAUGACGAUUGCUACCAGUUGUGCCAGCCCUUGACAAGUAGGAGUCUCAGCCAAAUAUAAUUUCAUUUAAGCAAUUAAGAAAGGUGACAUUUCUUGCACUCAAGUGUCACGGAGCAAUUUAAACCAGUUAAAGAAUGCCUGAAUUGAUUUGAAAAUUUGCCUAGAGAACACAUACACCCUCAUGAAUAUGUUUGUAGAUUCUUGGAGGUCUUUAACCCGCAGGAUGAUUAAACUACUGUAAGAAGUAAAUAAUGCCUUUGGAAUUGUGCAACACGGCAGUCUUGCCUGCUACCGUGAGUGAAGCUAGCCUGAGUAUAAACUAAACAUAUCGAGGAGGGCAGCAACAAGAGACUACAGAAAAAUGAACUGGAGUCUGAUCAAAACCAAAAGCUCACAGAGACCUCACACCACACAGACUUCCUUUCUGCAUCAUUAGAAAAUGCACAGAGAAGAACUCAGAUUGACCCAGCCCGGUCAUAUGCCCAUCUCUGUGGCUGGAGGAGUAAAGUACCAUGAUUCACAGUCACCAGUUAGGGAGGAGCAGCUCCCAAAAAGCAGGAAGAAAAAGUGCUGGCUUGACAAAAAACACAGAGGGUAGACUACUUGGACAUCUAGAUUUCUGUGAAGGCCAACACUAGGGCCAACUAAAUCUUUCAUACCAAGACGAAGAAUGAAAUAUCACUGUCAUUGUAUAUGAAGUCACAAAGAUGUGUUUUAUAAAAGCCUGCUAUCU